AUCUGGUUGACGAGUCCAAAAUAGGACGAAACUCGCGUCCUAGAU
rnacentral:hammerhead_ribozyme from 1 species